rnacentral:lncRNA from 1 species
AAUAAUUUUAAUAGAUCAAUCUAGACCCUUUUAAUUAAUCAGAUAUUGCAUAAUAUAAAUUCAAAUAAAUAGUGCGCAAACAGAUACAGCCCGACAUCGGGGUGUCACAAGUCACGAGCAUCUACUAAGGUCUAAAAUACAACGAAAAUUUUGGAAAUACUAAAUACAGUCUAAUGACAUCAAGAGGGAGUAAAGCAGUGUUGCGGACGCCGGGCAGCUACCUCGCUAAACUCCAAUGACUCUGCCUCUGCUCAACCAAUACUCGAUACCGCGUGCAAAAAUACCUGAAUCUGCACACAAGGUGCAGGGAGUAAAGUGAGUACUCCAACUCAGUGAGUAAUAAUCAUAACUAAAGACUGAGUGAUAGGAAAUCACGAAAAAUACAUUAACGUGUUGUAUAGAAGUAGUACAAAACUAGUAAGAAAACAAUGAAGCUAUGAAAUCUCUUAAAGCAUCUUAGCUCAGUUUAAACUUCUUUAAAAGAAUGACUUUUUCAACAGUUAAGCAAUUGAAUGCAAAGCAAUUAGAGCAAAUAAGCACAGAAAAUCCGCCCCUCGGGCACAACUACACAAUUAAAGGGGUAUAAGGGAUUUUUUCCAAUUAAAGGACAAUCGAAACGAGAUUAAUUAUUUAAAAUUCAGAGUCGCCACUUGGGAUAAUUUAUGGUGUCCCAAGUCACCGGUUUAAAAUCCCGAAUCGAGGAAAGUUGACUCUAUUUACGGUGUGCGAACACAGAAAUCCGGGUAAAAAAUUCUGUUAACCCGGGAGAAGGUGUUAGGCAUUCCCGAGUUCCGUGGUUCUAGCACGGUCGCUUUGAUCAUACUUGGCUUAUUAAAAUUGUUUAAUUACUCGUUUUAGAACCUAUGCGCAUUUAACUUUUACCGCUUUUUAAUUAAAAAAAUUAUCUUGAAAUGGGUUACGCGUACGUGUACCCAUUUGUUUGGCGCAUCAAAAAUCAUGUCACGCGAACGUGUCCACAAUCAAUAACGCUUUAUUAAUGUUAAGAAAGUUUAGUCAAAGUUGUGCGAACGCUACUCCGAUUUUAUUUUUAAAAUCGUAAUUAUGUCACGUGAACGUGUACACAAUCACGGUUAUAGACUAAGUAGCGCCUAAAACAUUUCUACGAAUAUUUAUUUUUUGAAAUCGUACUCGUGUCACGCGAACGUGUACACGAUUAAUAACAUUUUAUGAUUUAAAGAAAUGACAGAAAAGCUGGAUGCAUAUCAUUAACAGUAUGAUGCAACAACAGUACGAUAGUAUUAACUUCCUUUACUCGUUUUGCAAAUUCGCCGACAACAUGCUCCCUAUGACUUCAGUCGACCAUUUGUUUUUUAACAGAAUCUAUCAACAUUUAGGAUUUACAAAGCAAGAAAAGUUAUCACUACAGUAGUACUUCAUGAAACUUUGGAGCUUUUUCAAAUUAUAUUAAACUAACAAUGAACAAUGAAAAUUCAAGCCUUAAUUAUUCACGGAACUGACUUCCCUAACUACUAAUACUAAAGAUAACUAAAUUAUUUUGAGAAAAACUAGCCAAGGGCAGGAAAUCAAAGAAUCUGCCAACAAACUCUUUAAGGCACAAUUUCACCUAUGUAGAUUUAACUCUAAAUCUUGAUUUCACUUAACUACAACUACCACAAAUUUGGGGAAAAUAUGAUAGGAACUACAAAUUAAUUUUAACCAUUAAAACCAUCCUAAUAUAGAUUGAACAAAAACAUACCAACAAUAACAAAAAAAAACCGCAACCAAAUACUGCUAGGGAAUGAGCAAAGAAACGAUAUAUUAAAUCCAAGAUUCAGAUUAAAAUAGAAUUACACAUUACAUAAUGCAUGAAAUUAAGCUAAGAUAGCAAGAGAGGGGAAAUAAACCUCAAGUAAACCUGAAAUUUGAUUGAUUUACAGUUUGAAAAUGCUAAGCGACGGAACGAUCAGGAGCCGGAACCGGAAAAACUCGAGCGCCGGAACGGGCAGUGCCAAAACGUCUUCGUCGCUUAGAUCUCGUAACGUUAAAUCUUCCAAUCUUCUGAUUUCUUUUCCUCCGAAGCUUUCCUCAGUGAUUUAAAAUGAUCCAAGACUUAACCAAGUAGUAUGAUUGGCGCUAAUUUCCCCAAAAUUCUCAUUGAAUAAUGAUGUCUCCAGAUUUUUAUGCAAAUGGUACCUUUGUUGUCAUCUCUAAUAGUGUCGUCGGCUGGUUGUGCUAAGUGUAUUUUAAGACUAGUUUUGGUUAUAUAGAAGGGUUUUUAGGUUAAGGGAGCAUGCGUCUAGGAAUUAUGGGUUUAAGAA